ACCAGGACUAAACCAGGUCUAACCCAGGACUAAACCAGGUCUAAACCAGGACUAAACCAGGACAAAACCAGGACUAAACCAGGUCUAAACCAGGACUAAACCAGGACUAAACCAGGUCUAAACCAGGUCUAAACCAGGUCUAAACCAGGUCUAAACCAGGACUAAACCAGGUCUAAACCAGGUCUAAACCAGGUCUAAACCAGGUCUAAACCAGGACUAAACCAGGUCUAAACCAGGUCUAAACCAGGUCUAAACCAGGUCUAAACCAGGUCUAAACCAGGUCUAAACCAGGUCUAAACCAGGUCUAAACCAGGUCUAAACCAGGACUAAACCAGG
ensembl:lncRNA